CACCCAAAACAUUCCAGUCUUUCCUUUCUUGCCACUUGAGAGGGGGGUUGUUUAUUGACAUUAUGCAAGUGCUGAAAUAUUUUUCUUUUUCUUCUCUCCCGCCCCUUUUUAGCUUUCUCCCCCUCUGUCCUCUGGGGGUUGCAAAGGUAGUUCAAACCCCUCCAGUCAUGUCGGCUUAUCAGCCAAAGGAGAUGCAUUCCUCUGGGCUGCUCCCUUUAUAAGUCACUGCUGGCCGGGCGCCCGCUCGCCGCUCCGCAGCACUCCGCGCCAGCAGCGCUGCCUGCUGCCCCGCCAUGCCCUAGCCCGGGCCCCCGGACCCGCUCGCCCACGGGGGGACGCGCAGCAACCCGGGGGAGGGCCGGCGGCGAUGGCACCCCCGUCCCCCGCCCGCCCCUGAGGGCGGCUGCUGCCGGGAUGUUCAGCUGGCAGCGGAGCUUCACCCUAGGAGCGCCCUGGAGGAGAGGUAAGAAGAGCCCACCUGCUGAGGACAAAGUUGUGUUAACACAUAUGAAGAUAUUGAGCAAUGAAGGAGUUCAAAACCCAGGGUUAAUCACAGAGGCUUCAGCUGACACAGCCUGCACAGAAGAGUCCCAUCUCCCUGGUGCCAGCUUCCCACCGGCCUGCCAGGGAAAUCCGAAUGCAGCAGCCGAACCAGCAGAUCCAGACUAUGCAGAUGCCCCAGCAAGCACAGACUAUGUAGCCACGCUACCUGACCUCAGUGCCUUCCAGUCCAAGUGCCGACUUCACAGAUUCUCCAAAUUCGAAUCUGAGGACUCAGGGGUUGAAUUGCCAAGUGGGGCUAAUUCUCCAUCAACACCAACGGGUUCAGAGAAGAGCUUUGUGCUUCACAGCAGAGACUCAUUUUGUGACUCAGGUGUGCUUAGCACUUCUUCUUCUCCAGAAAUUGACCAUCUGGUAAUGAGAACAUGUAAAGAGCAUGCCAGAAAAGUCAGCCACCAAGAUCCAGAGAGCAAAAAGCAAGCUGAGUACUACAGCCAGGAGGCAGAUGCUGUGCAGGGUCCCACAGCUUCCCUUGGAGACUUAAGUGUCCCUCAGGAAGAAAGUCCAGAUGAACAUUUUGACCAGAGCGAAAAUCAAUCUCUGGAAAAGGAACCCACCCCAGAGAUGGACCCUGCAAGGGAAAGCACUCUUCACACCCCAGGUCCCAUAGAAGAGCCAAAGACAGUUGCUGACAAUUUCCCAGAGAACUUUGGCAGCAUGCAAGACCUCCAGAUCCAUGGACAUCAGCUGAAGAAGUACCCCACAAGUGACAGUCUAGAUGAGUACAUGGAUAAAUGCUGUAGGCUGAGUGAGGUGAACCAAGGUAACAGCAAAGCCCUAGGAUCUGGUCUGGGAUACCUGGAACACAUUUGCCAACUGAUUGAGAAGAUUGGGCAGCUGCAGGAGCACAACAUGCAUCUCCAAAAGCAAGUGUGCAGCUUGCAGAAAGAGCAGAAGAUAAGCCAGAUAAAAGAGGAGUACGUUCUGCAGCAUUGCUCCUGUGGAGCUGCUAGCAUCCUCAACUCACACCAAGACGUGAAGACAUCUUUUGCUGGGAGGAACAGACCUCACAGCCUCUUGGUUCAGACUGGAAACCCAUCUGAUCUUUCCAUCAUCCCAGAAAUAGGAGCGAACACUGAAAAGCUGAGCAGCUGCAAUGGAAGUGAGAGAUACCUGGAAUCAGGAAACAGCCAACCGAUGGUGGGGCUCAGGAAGUUGUCAAACAAUAGGAACAACAAGGAGAAUGAGUACAGAGAAGCUGGUAGUAUGACUGAGGUACAGGCUUUUCCUUCAAAGGACCCUGCAGUAAGAAAGGGUCUGGACGUCAGCAAGAACAUCUCGGGUGAGAGCCAUGCUUGGGGAAGAAUGAAAGAUCUUAUGAGGAAGACACGUCUGAGAAACCAGAACAAGCUGGGGCUGUCCUCUGCUGCUCUGAAGAGGUCCUGUCCACAGUUGUACAGGCCAGAUAUUAUGUCUUCAGAGCUGAGGAAAACUGAGAGGAACUCCAUGAUCAUUCUGGGGCAAAAUACAAAGAAUGAAAACAUAUGGCCUUUCUGAUAACCUGAGCUAAAUAGAACAAGAAAGGCAAAAUGGGAACACCAGUGGACACAAACCCAAGAACCCCACGGUUACUUUGUGCAACCUGCAUCCUGUAGUUGUCAACAGAGCAACCCCGAUUUGAGCAUUGGAAGGGAAAGAGAGAAGGGGGAAGUAGAGAAGGGUGCACGGACCUUUCUGUGCUCAGCUAUGUACAGCUUUGCUCCCAAAUCUGAAAUAUACUCAGAAAAGUCAAGCCACAGAUGAAAAUUAUUGUUAGCAUCUUGGCAAUGUAAACAAUAGAGAUUUGGAAAUUCUUCCUCCUCCUCUCUGGGUCAGGAACACCAUUACUUGAAACAUUGAAGCUUUUAAAUUAUCAUUGCUUUCUGGAGACCUUCUCCAGCUGAAAUAAAUUUAAGCUUUAUGGGACACAGCAGCAUGUAGAAGGGUGCCAGGGACUCAUUGCCCAGUGCAGAAGUGCCUGUUGGAAGGACAGCUUCCUCUCGGGGUGGGCUGAGUGGCAGUCUCUGUGUGUCCCCAACGCCGCUCCUCCCUUCAGAGCAGCAUCUGACCAGCUGUGCCAUUUUACUGGAAUCUAACAGGAAAACCAAGUCUGUAAAGCCAAGACUUCCUACAAGGCCAUUCCUGAAUCCACCACUAGCUUCUAAUCCUGCAAGCCUGCUCUUUCUACAGAGGCCCCUCAAAUACAGUGCUGCCCUACAGGCAUCAUGCAGGUUCAUUGAAGAGACCAGACUGAGGAGCACUGUGGGAAUUAGCCUUUAAAGAGGCCAGAGGGUUCAUCUGAGGCAAUACCUCAGUUUCACCAGGCAGCCCAGCUCUUAUGCUAUCAGUUUUUUUGGGGGGAGGGAACCAGGCUUGAAUUCCUACUUUUAAAUUACAUGUUAAGUCCUCUGGCUGUGCAGGUAGGGUAGUCAUUUUGUCAAAUGGCUCAGUCUAUGCUCUCUCUACUGGAGAGAGGCAAGAGGGAGCACAGAGCUGCAAGGAAGAGUUAUUAAAAUACAGGCAUCCUUUACAAGUUGCUGGUCUUUAGGGCCCUGCUAGCAAUCAUGUAACACUGUGGCCAUGUUUGGUGACUGCCUUAUAGCCCCGUGCCCACUGAUUCCAGACUCAAUGAGCAGAUAGUGCAUGCUUCUGAAGGUCCCAUGGUUGCAGUGGUCUCUGCACACCAGCUCGUACUGGUAUUAGCACAAUAAUUAAUGCACAUAGAGCAAAGAUUUAAAUAAACCAACUUUGCCUCUUGUAAAUAGAGUAUUCUACCCCUUAAAUUACAAUGUAACUGGAAGUCAAGCAAUUGCUCUUUGAAAAUCCUUUCCUAACCCAAACUUGCCUGGGAACCAAGAUUUGAGAAGCUGGCAGGAAUGGAUCAACUUCAGCAGGCUUAGCCUUUCAGUAACACAUGCUUCCCCCUUGCCUACUGGGAUCAGCUGGAGCCCUAAAAGUCUGCCAAACCUGAGCAGGAUCUCUUCUGAGAUUCAGAGCUCUCCAGCCACACAUCCAGGCAGCAGGCCAGGCUUGGUGUUUCAAAUAGCAGAAGGGUUGUUACUUAGCACCUCAAAAAAUACCCCCCGAACAACAACAAAAAUAAAACAACCCCCCCACCAACCAACAGCCCCAAAAAAACCCAAACCCAACCAAACCAAAAACCACCCACCUAAUUAAAAAAUCCAAAAGGUCUGUGCUACCUAAAAUACGUGCUGCGUUUAAUACUUCAGUUGUAGCUGCUGCAGGACUUGUUCACUGUGUAUCUUGCUAGCUUCAUCCAAAGCUAGAAGGAUUCAUAACUUGAUUAUUCUGUGAAUAGUCUGUAUAUCUCCAUAAAUACAGGGGACUAAAAUCCUCCAUUAACUUAUACCCUCCAUUAUCCCUCCAGCUUUACAGAGUCUGUAAGGAAUGUGAAUCAGUGCAAACUGAAUUUUAAGUGUUCUAAGAUGUAGCACCAUGAACUGCUAUUUCCAGCCACCACCAUUCACAUUAUAAGUCUAUUUUGUUUUUUAUUUUUACUAAAAUGAACUAGCACUCUUUUUUACUAUAGCAUUAUAUGAAAUAUAUUCAUGUAUUUUCAGAAAUAAAUAUAUUUAUAACAUGUAACAUACUGUAUAGUUCUCCAUUACAGAAUGCAUUGUAAUACAAGCAUAAAAAAUUUAAUAAAAGCAUCACUACAAUAAUUGUUUUCAGAUAUUAAUGAAUCCCUGGAUGGCAGCACAGCAGCUGCCACACAUUUAAAGUUUCAGGUGAGCACAGCU
rnacentral:lncRNA from 1 species